rnacentral:rRNA from 1 species
GACGAACGCUGGCGGCGUGCCUAAUACAUGCAAGUAGAACGCUGAAGGAGGAGCUUGCUUCUCUGGAUGAGUUGCGAACGGGUGAGUAACGCGUAGGUAACCUGCCUGGUAGCGGGGGAUAACUAUUGGAAACGAUAGCUAAUACCGCAUAAGAGUAGAUGUUGCAUGACAUUUGCUUAAAAGGUGCAAUUGCAUCACUACCAGAUGGACCUGCGUUGUAUUAGCUAGUUGGUGGGGUAACGGCUCACCAAGGCGACGAUACAUAGCCGACCUGAGAGGGUGAUCGGCCACACUGGGACUGAGACACGGUCCAGACUCCUACGGGAGGCAGCAGUAGGGAAUCUUCGGCAAUGGACGGAAGUCUGACCGAGCAACGCCGCGUGAGUGAAGAAGGUUUUCGGAUCGUAAAGCUCUGUUGUAAGAGAAGAACGAGUGUGAGAGUGGAAAGUUCACACUGUGCCGGUAUCUUACCAGAAAGGGACGGCUAACUACGU